rnacentral:rRNA from 1 species
AACAGGCCGAAAGGCUUGCUAAUACCGCAUGAGCAACGAGAGGACUAGAGAGCUUGUUGUAAAGGAGGAUGUUCGGAAGAGCAACUCCGCUCUGGGAGGGGCCUGCGACCCAUCAGCUAGUUGGUAGGGUAACGGCCUACCAAGGCGAUGACGGGUAGGGGACCUGAGAGGGUGGCCCCCCACAAUGGAACUGAAACACGGUCCAUACACCUACGGGUGGCAGCAGUAGGGAAUAUUGCAUAAUGGGCGAAAGCCUGAUGCAGCAACGCCGCGUGUGCGAUGAAGGCCUUCGGGUUGUAAAGCACUUUUGAUCGGGAAGAGGAAGGACGGUACCGGUCGAAUAAGCCUCGGCUAACUACGUGCCAGCAGCCGCGGUAAAACGUAGGAGGCGAGCGUUAUCCGGAUUUACUGGGUGUAAAGCGCGUGCAGGCGGUAGGCUAAGUUGGGUGUGAAAGCUCCUGGCUCAACUAGGAGAGGUCGCUCAAGACUGGCCAACUGGAGAGCAGUAGAGGAAGGUGGAAUUCCGGGUGUAGUGGUGAAAUGCGUAGAUAUCCGGAGGAACACCAGUGGCGAAAGCGGCCUUCUGGACUGCAUCUGACGCUCAGACGCGAAAGCUAGGGGAGCAAACGGGAUUAGAGACCCCGGUAGUCCUAGCUGUAAACGAUG